CUUGGUCAUUUAGAGGAAGUAAAAGUCGUAACAAGGUUUCCGUAGGUGAACCUGCGGAAGGAUCAUUACAGAGUUCAUGCCCUCACGGGUAGAUCUCCCACCCUUGAAUAUUAUACCUUAGUUGCUUUGGCAGGCCGUGGAAACACCAUGGGCUCCGGCUUAUGCGUGCCCGCCAGAGAACCAAACUCUGAAUGUUAGUGAUGUCUGAGUACUAUCUAAUAGUUAAAACUUUCAACAACGGAUCUCUUGGUUCUGGCAUCGAUGAAGAACGCAGCGAAAUGCGAUAAGUAAUGUGAAUUGCAGAAUUCAGUGAAUCAUCGAAUCUUUGAACGCACAUUGCGCCCUGUGGUAUUCCGCAGGGCAUGCCUGUUCGAGCGUCAUUUAACCACUCACGCCUAGCGUGGUAUUGGGGCACGCGGUCUCCGCGGCCCUCAAAAUUAGUGGCGGCGCCGGUGGGCUCUAAGCGUAGUACAUACUCCCGCUAUAGAGUUCCCCCCGGUGGCUCGCCAGAACCCCCAAUUUUUUACAGGUUGACCUCGGAUCAGGUAGGGAUACCCGCUGAACUUAAGCAUAUCAAUAAGCGGAGGA
rnacentral:rRNA from 1 species